rnacentral:lncRNA from 1 species
AAUGGGCUAAAAAUUUGAAAAUUCAAAAUAGGCCCAGAACCGAAAAAACCGAACCGAACCGAACCGAACCGAAAAGAACCGUUUGAGUUCGGUUCUUUUUGAGUUCGGUUCUUAUUCGGUUCUUUUUAUAAAAUAACCGAUUUAAAUCGGUUCUACUUAAUUUCGAACCGAACCGAACCGAACCGAACCGUGCCCACCCCUA